rnacentral:rRNA from 1 species
UACGUAGGGUGCAAGCGUUGUCCGGAAUUAUUGGGCGUAAAGGGCUCGUAGGCGGUCUGUCGCGUCGGGAGUGAAAACUCAGGGCUUAACCCUGAGCCUGCUUCCGAUACGGGCAGACUAGAGGUAUGCAGGGGAGAAUGGAAUUCCUGGUGUAGCGGUGAAAUGCGCAGAUAUCAGGAGGAACACCAGUGGCGAAGGCGGUUCUCUGGGCAUUACCUGACGCUGAGGAGCGAAAGUGUGGGGAGCAAACAGG